rnacentral:rRNA from 1 species
GGUUAAGCGACUAAGCGUACACGGUGGAUGCCCUGGCAGUCAGAGGCGAUGAAGGACGUGCUAAUCUGCGAUAAGCGUCGGUAAGGUGAUAUGAACCGUUAUAACCGGCGAUUUCCGAAUGGGGAAACCCAGUGUGUUUCGACACACUAUCAUUAACUGAAUCCAUAGGUUAAUGAGGCGAACCGGGGGAACUGAAACAUCUAAGUACCCCGAGGAAAAGAAAUCAACCGAGAUUCCCCCAGUAGCGGCGAGCGAACGGGGAGCAGCCCAGAGCCUGAAUCAGUGUGUGUGUUAGUGGAAGCGUCUGGAAAGGCGCGCGAUACAGGGUGACAGCCCCGUACACAAAAAUGCACAUGCUGUGAGCUCGAUGAGUAGGGCGGGACACGUGGUAUCCUGUCUGAAUAUGGGGGGACCAUCCUCCAAGGCUAAAUACUCCUGACUGACCGAUAGUGAACCAGUACCGUGAGGGAAAGGCGAAAAGAACCCCGGCGAGGGGAGUGAAAAAGAACCUGAAACCGUGUACGUACAAGCAGUGGGAGCACGCUUCGGCGUGUGACUGCGUACCUUUUGUAUAAUGGGUCAGCGACUUAUAUUCUGUAGCAAGGUUAACCGAAUAGGGGAGCCGAAGGGAAACCGAGUCUUAACUGGGCGUUAAGUUGCAGGGUAUAGACCCGAAACCCGGUGAUCUAGCCAUGGGCAGGUUGAAGGUUGGGUAACACUAACUGGAGGACCGAACCGACUAAUGUUGAAAAAUUAGCGGAUGACUUGUGGCUGGGGGUGAAAGGCCAAUCAAACCGGGAGAUAGCUGGUUCUCCCCGAAAGCUAUUUAGGUAGCGCCUCGUGAAUUCAUCUCCGGGGGUAGAGCACUGUUUCGGCAAGGGGGUCAUCCCGACUUACCAACCCGAUGCAAACUGCGAAUACCGGAGAAUGUUAUCACGGGAGACACACGGCGGGUGCUAACGUCCGUCGUGAAGAGGGAAACAACCCAGACCGCCAGCUAAGGUCCCAAAGUCAUGGUUAAGUGGGAAACGAUGUGGGAAGGCCCAGACAGCCAGGAUGUUGGCUUAGAAGCAGCCAUCAUUUAAAGAAAGCGUAAUAGCUCACUGGUCGAGUCGGCCUGCGCGGAAGAUGUAACGGGGCUAAACCAUGCACCGAAGCUGCGGCAGCGACGCUUAUGCGUUGUUGGGUAGGGGAGCGUUCUGUAAGCCUGCGAAGGUGUGCUGUGAGGCAUGCUGGAGGUAUCAGAAGUGCGAAUGCUGACAUAAGUAACGAUAAAGCGGGUGAAAAGCCCGCUCGCCGGAAGACCAAGGGUUCCUGUCCAACGUUAAUCGGGGCAGGGUGAGUCGACCCCUAAGGCGAGGCCGAAAGGCGUAGUCGAUGGGAAACAGGUUAAUAUUCCUGUACUUGGUGUUACUGCGAAGGGGGGACGGAGAAGGCUAUGUUGGCCGGGCGACGGUUGUCCCGGUUUAAGCGUGUAGGCUGGUUUUCCAGGCAAAUCCGGAAAAUCAAGGCUGAGGCGUGAUGACGAGGCACUACGGUGCUGAAGCAACAAAUGCCCUGCUUCCAGGAAAAGCCUCUAAGCAUCAGGUAACAUCAAAUCGUACCCCAAACCGACACAGGUGGUCAGGUAGAGAAUACCAAGGCGCUUGAGAGAACUCGGGUGAAGGAACUAGGCAAAAUGGUGCCGUAACUUCGGGAGAAGGCACGCUGAUAUGUAGGUGAAGUCCCUCGCGGAUGGAGCUGAAAUCAGUCGAAGAUACCAGCUGGCUGCAACUGUUUAUUAAAAACACAGCACUGUGCAAACACGAAAGUGGACGUAUACGGUGUGACGCCUGCCCGGUGCCGGAAGGUUAAUUGAUGGGGUCAGCGCAAGCGAAGCUCUUGAUCGAAGCCCCGGUAAACGGCGGCCGUAACUAUAACGGUCCUAAGGUAGCGAAAUUCCUUGUCGGGUAAGUUCCGACCUGCACGAAUGGCGUAAUGAUGGCCAGGCUGUCUCCACCCGAGACUCAGUGAAAUUGAACUCGCUGUGAAGAUGCAGUGUACCCGCGGCAAGACGGAAAGACCCCGUGAACCUUUACUAUAGCUUGACACUGAACAUUGAGCCUUGAUGUGUAGGAUAGGUGGGAGGCUUUGAAGUGUGGACGCCAGUCUGCAUGGAGCCGACCUUGAAAUACCACCCUUUAAUGUUUGAUGUUCUAACGUUGACCCGUAAUCCGGGUUGCGGACAGUGUCUGGUGGGUAGUUUGACUGGGGCGGUCUCCUCCUAAAGAGUAACGGAGGAGCACGAAGGUUGGCUAAUCCUGGUCGGACAUCAGGAGGUUAGUGCAAUGGCAUAAGCCAGCUUGACUGCGAGCGUGACGGCGCGAGCAGGUGCGAAAGCAGGUCAUAGUGAUCCGGUGGUUCUGAAUGGAAGGGCCAUCGCUCAACGGAUAAAAGGUACUCCGGGGAUAACAGGCUGAUACCGCCCAAGAGUUCAUAUCGACGGCGGUGUUUGGCACCUCGAUGUCGGCUCAUCACAUCCUGGGGCUGAAGUAGGUCCCAAGGGUAUGGCUGUUCGCCAUUUAAAGUGGUACGCGAGCUGGGUUUAGAACGUCGUGAGACAGUUCGGUCCCUAUCUGCCGUGGGCGCUGGAGAACUGAGGGGGGCUGCUCCUAGUACGAGAGGACCGGAGUGGACGCAUCACUGGUGUUCGGGUUGUCAUGCCAAUGGCACUGCCCGGUAGCUAAAUGCGGAAGAGAUAAGUGCUGAAAGCAUCUAAGCACGAAACUUGCCCCGAGAUGAGUUCUCCCUGACUCCUUGAGAGUCCUGAAGGAACGUUGAAGACGACGACGUUGAUAGGCCGGGUGUGUAAGCGCAGCGAUGCGUUGAGCUAACCGGUACUAAUGAACCGUGAGGCUUAACCUU